CAUAAGAAAGAGACGGAUGAAAUCAUUUGAAUGUGCCUACCAUCCUUCAAGUCUGUCAACUUUCAAUUCCAGCGGCGAGUGCUAAUUUCUCCCCACCCACACCAAAAAAUGGAACUCCAACAUACACCCACAAACCUCAACUCCCCCCUGACCGUCCACAAAACUCUGCAAUUCAGAAUGGGUAAGCAGCCACCAUACUGCCAAGCAAAUAAAUUAAAGAAUGGUAUGUACACUAGUGAUGCUGGGUAAAAGUACAAUUUAAUUUGCGUGCCUAAAA
rnacentral:misc_RNA from 1 species